UUCGGAGAGGGAGCCUGAGAGAUGGCUACCACAUCCAAGGAAGGCAGCAGGCGCGUAAAUUACCCAAUCCUGACAUAGGGAGGUAGUGACAAUAAAUCACAAUGCGGAACUAUUAGUUUUGCAAUUGGAUUGAGAACAAUGUACAAAUGUUAUCGAUAAACAAUUGGAGGGCAAGUCUGGUGCCAGCAGCCGCGGUAAUUCCAGCUCCAAUAGCGUAUAUUAACGUUGUUGCAGUUAAAAAGCUCGUAGUUGAAUUGAAGUGAACUUGGGUUGAUGUGAUCUUCGGAUGACAUGAAUCAAAGUUGACUCUUUCCAAAGUCAAUACAUUGGUAUUCAUUUAUCUUUGUAUUGUGUUUGGUCAUUUACUGUGAGAAAAUUAGAGUGUUCAAAGCAGACGUUUGUUUGAAUACAUUAGCAUGGAAUAAUCAUAUAUGGCUUUCAUGUUGAUUUGAUUGGUUUGAAUAUGGAAGCAAGAUUAAAAGGGACAGUUGGGGGUAUUCAUAUUCAAUAGUCAGAGGUGAAAUUCUGGGAUUUAUGGAAGAUGAACA
rnacentral:rRNA from 1 species